AUUGAACGCUGGCGGCAUGCCUUACACAUGCAAGUCGAACGGUAACGCGGGGCAACCUGGCGACGAGUGGCGAACGGGUGAGUAAAGCAUCGGAACGUGCCCAGUAGUGGGGGAUAGCCCGGCGAAAGCCGGAUUAAUACCGCAUACGACCUAUGGGUGAAAGGGGGGGAUCGCAAGACCUCUCGCUAUUGGAGCGGCCGAUGUCAGAUUAGGUAGUUGGUGGGGUAAAGGCCUACCAAGCCGACGAUCUGUAGCUGGUCUGAGAGGACGACCAGUCACACUGGGACUGAGACACGGCCCAGACUCCUACGGGAGGCAGCAGUGGGGAAUUUUGGACAAUGGGCGCAAGCCUGAUCCAGCCAUGCCGCGUGCGGGAAGAAGGCCUUCGGGUUGUAAACCGCUUUUGUCAGGGAAGAAAUCCUUUGGGUUAAUACCUCGGGGGGAUGACGGUACCUGAAGAAUAAGCACCGGCUAACUACGUGCCAGCAGCCGCGGUAA
rnacentral:rRNA from 1 species